CCUACGGGAGGCAGCAGUGGGGAAUAUUGCACAAUGGGGGAAACCCUGAUGCAGCGACGCCGCGUGAGUGAAGAAGUAACUAGUUACGUUAAGCUCCAUCAGCAGGGAAGUAAAUGACGGUACCUGAGUAAGAAGCCCCGGCUAACUAGGUGCCAGCAGCGGCGGUAAUACGUAGGAGGCAAGCGUUAUCCGGAUUUACUGGGUGUAAAGGGAGCGUAGACGGUGUGCAAAGUCCGUAGUGAAAUGCCGCAGCUUAACUGCGGAACUGCUUUUGAUACUGGCGAACUAGAGUGCAGGAGGGGUAGGCGGAAUGCCUGGUGUAGCGGUGAAAUGCGUAGAUAUUAGGAAGAACACCGAUUGCGAAGGCAGCUUACUAAACCGCAACUGACGUUGAGGCUCGAAAGCGUGGGGAGCAAACAGGAUUAGAUACCCCAGUAGUC
rnacentral:rRNA from 1 species